rnacentral:rRNA from 1 species
UGGGGAAUUUUGGACAAUGGGCGCAAGCCUGAUCCAGCCAUGCCGCGUGCGGGAAGAAGGCCUUCGGGUUGUAAACCGCUUUUGUCAGGGAAGAAAAGGUUCUGGUUAAUACCUGGGACUCAUGACGGUACCUGAAGAAUAAGCACCGGCUAACUACGUGCCAGCAGCCGCGGUAAUACGUAGGGUGCAAGCGUUAAUCGGAAUUACUGGGCGUAAAGCGUGCGCAGGCGGUUAUGCAAGACAGAUGUGAAAUCCCCGGGCUCAACCUGGGAACUGCAUUUGUGACUGCAUAGCUAGAGUACGGUAGAGGGGGAUGGAAUUCCGCGUGUAGCAGUGAAAUGCGUAGAUAUGCGGAGGAACACCGAUGGCGAAGGCAAUCCCCUGGACCUGUACUGACGCUCAUGUACGAAAGCGUGGGGAGCAAACA